CUACAGUUUGAUUAUUUGAGUACCAAAAGUAUACAUAAAGCAAUACAGGAUCUGUCAUUUAUGCUAUCUCAUACCAAAAUAACUUGGAAUGUCCAUUUCAGCCAUUAAAGCUUAGUUUGCAGAUUUUGGUUUGUGACCCAGAUUCGUUUCAGUUAAAUGGAUUUAUGACUAAUGAACAGUGGUAUACUACAAUUGCUUUUAUUUAUAUUUAAUGAGGGUUAAUACAGUGUCUGGUGAAUAUCUCAUAUCACAUUCAUUUUCAUUAUAUAUUCCUCAAAAAAGUAUAUACCCAGUACAAGGGAUGUGCUGUUAUAUAAACCAUCGCAUGCAUAGAUAAAUGGUCAUACAUUUCAUCAAUUUUAAAGUCUGCAUCAAAUCACUGAUUAUCAGGUGAUUUAUUAAUGGAAAUUAACCUUUUCUAUCUUUCCAUCUGCAUGUCUUAUUAUACAUAAAGAAUAAAAUCUGUGUUUCUUAUCACAAAUUUA
rnacentral:lncRNA from 1 species